UACGUAGGGUGCGAGCGUUAUCCGGAAUUAUUGGGCGUAAAGAGCUCGUAGGCGGUUUGUCGCGUCUGCCGUGAAAGUCCGGGGCUCAACUCCGGAUCUGCGGUGGGUACGGGCAGACUAGAGUGAUGUAGGGGAGACUGGAAUUCCUGGGUGUAGCGGUGAAAUGCGCAGGAUAUCAGGAGGAACACCGAUGGCGAAGGCAGGUCUCUGGGCAUUAACUGACGCUGAGGAGCGAAAGCAUGGGGAGCGAACAG
rnacentral:rRNA from 1 species